GGAGGGGUAUCGAAGCGGUCAUAACGAGGCGGUCUCGAAAACCGUUCGGGUGUAUGCCCACGUGGGUUCGAAUCCCACCCUCUCCGCCA
rnacentral:tRNA from 1 species